GACGAACGCUGGCGGCGUGCUUAACACAUGCAAGUCGAACGGAAAGGCCCUGCUUUUGUGGGGUGCUCGAGUGGCGAACGGGUGAGUAACACGUGAGUAACCUGCCCUUGACUUUGGGAUAACUUCAGGAAACUGGGGCUAAUACCGGAUAGGAUCUCCUGCUGCAUGGUGGGGGUUGGAAAGUUUCGGCGGUUGGGGAUGGACUCGCGGCUUAUCAGCUUGUUGGUGGGGUAGUGGCUUACCAAGGCUUUGACGGGUAGCCGGCCUGGGAGGGUGACCGGCCACAUGGGGACUGAGGUACGGCCCAGACUCGAACGGGAGGCAGCAGUGGGGAAUAUUGCACAAGGGGCGGGAGCCUGGUGCAGCAACGCCGCGUGCGGGAUGACGGCCUUCGGGUUGUGAACCGCUGUCGCCUGUGACGAGGCGUGAGUGACGGUAAUGGGUAAAGAAGCACCGGCUAACUACGUG
rnacentral:rRNA from 1 species